AUCAGGCAUUAUUUUGCGGAGAAUCCCACAUACCCCGAGUCGUAUUUUCGUCGCCGGUUUAGGAUGAGCACCGAGUUGUUCAGGCGCAUUGCGGAGAAACUAGCGAGCCAUGACCGCUUUUUUCAGCAAAGGAGGAAUGCCGCCGGAGAGCUCGGGCAUAGCACCUUUCAGAAGGUGACAGCCGCUUUGCGUAUGUUGGCAUACGGUAUACCGGCUGAUCUAGUUGAUGGUCACUUGGCUAUGGGUGAGAGCCAAGCCAUCAUGUGUGUCAAGCGCUUCGCAGUCGGAAUUGUGCAAGUGUUUGGCGAGUAG
rnacentral:rRNA from 1 species